rnacentral:rRNA from 1 species
UUAUGUGAUCGUCUCUCGCAUAUCAAUAAGCGGAGGAAAAGAAACUAACAAGGAUUCCCCUAGUAACGGCGAGUGAAGCGGGAGGAGCUCAAAUUUGAAAUCUUAAAGGGUUUCCCUUUACGAAUUGUAGUUUAAAGAAGUGGUUUCUGUUGAGGUUUUGGUAAAAGUUCUUUGGAAUAGGACAUCAUAGAGGGUGAGAAUCCCGUAUUUGACCUUUACUUUCAACUUUGUGAUACACUUUCAAAGAGUCGGAUUGUUUGGGAAUGCAGUCCAAAAUGGGUGGUAAAUUUCAUCUAAAGCUAAAUAUUGGCGAGAGACCGAUAGCGAACAAGUACCGUGAGGGAAAGAUGAAAAGAACUUUGAAAAGAGAGUUAAACAGUACGUGAAAUUGUCAAAAGGGAAGCGUUUGACACCAGUGUUGUUUUUCUGAAAAUCAAUUAAAGAACUGCUUAUGCUAAGCUGUUUAGACUUUAUCAGCUAACUGUUUAGUUUUGAGCUUUUCUUUAAUGCACUUUUCAGUUAACAAGUCAACAUCAAUUUCUUUUGCUGUAAAAAAGCUUGAGGAAGGUGGCUUGAGAUUCGUCUUAAGUGUUUAUAGCCUCUUGCCUAUGCAGUCGGAGAGAUUGAGGUCUGCAGCGUAGAUCCUUCGGGGCUAAAUGCAUUUGUGCUAAGUUAUAGCAUUUUAUAGACAACUUGUUGACUAUGAUUUGUCUUGUAGCUUACUCGCUCAUGUUAUUUUACCUACGCUUAGGAUGUUGAUCUCUCACAGUCGAGC